rnacentral:rRNA from 1 species
AUGAACGCUGGCGGCGUGCCUAAUACAUGCAAGUCGAGCGAACAGACGAGGAGCUUGCUCCUUUGACGUUAGCGGCGGACGGGUGAGUAACACGUAGGUAACCUACCUAUAAGACUGGGAUAACUUCGGGAAACCGGAGCUAAUACCGGAUAAUAUUUCGAACCGCAUGGUUCGAUAGUGAAAGAUGGCUUUGCUAUCACUUAUAGAUGGACCUGCGCCGUAUUAGCUAGUUGGUAAGGUAACGGCUUACCAAGGCAACGAUACGUAGCCGACCUGAGAGGGUGAUCGGCCACACUGGAACUGAGACACGGUCCAGACUCCUACGGGAGGCAGCAGUAGGGAAUCUUCCGCAAUGGGCGAAAGCCUGACGGAGCAACGCCGCGUGAGUGAUGAAGGUCUUCGGAUCGUAAAACUCUGUUAUUAGGGAAGAACAAACGUGUAAGUAACUGUGCACGUCUUGACGGUACCUGAUCAGAAAGCCACGGCUAACUACGUG